AGCCCAGGCCCCGCCCCCAGAGGAGGAGGCUGCCACUCAGAGCAGGCGCCUGUUACGCUUUGCCAGGCUCCCCUGGUGACUCUGCGAAGGCUGUUAAACUAGGUCCCUUAAAGAUUAAGCACUUUGGAUAAACACCUGAAGCUUUAAACAUAAAGAAGACAUCAGAAACUUGUGAAAACCAGUGUCUGAAAUGCUUCCUGUAAUGCGGUGCUUUGAAAGGAGAAGAGGAGGAGGAAACCCCGGAUUCCUUGAGGUGGUCGAGUUGAUCCCUGGCCACUUUGCGCAAGUUCAAGAAGUCAGGAGGGCAGCUGUCUGGAGAUGACUUGUGGGAUGUUUAAGCAGAAAUAGCCCUGCUGGCUGCCCAGCGGACCUGGACUGUAAAAACAGGCCACUGGACUCAGAUUUCAGUGGUGCGCUUAUUUUGAUGGAAGUGGUUUGAUUGAAGGCAGCAAGUGGCCGCAUGGAGUCUGUGGCCACGUGUGGCCCACCUUAGCUCUUGUGUGCAUGAAAUGAGAAAAUAAAGAAAGGGCUUCGUAAGAUAGAA